CAAGCGGUGGAGCAUGUGGUUUAAUUCGAAGCAACGCGAAGAACCUUACCAGGUCUUGACAUCCUCUGAAAACCCUAGAGAUAGGGCUUCUCCUUCGGGAGCAGAGUGACAGGUGGUGCAUGGUUGUCGUCAGCUCGUGUCGUGAGAUGUUGGGUUAAGUCCCGCAACGAGCGCAACCCUUGAUCUUAGUUGCCAUCAUUAAGUUGGGCACUCUAAGGUGACUGCCGGUGACAAACCGGAGGAAGGUGGGGAUGACGUCAAAUCAUCAUGCCCCUUAUGACCUGGGCUACACACGUGCUACAAUGGACGGUACAAAGAGCUGCAAGACCGCGAGGUGGAGCUAAUCUCAUAAAACCGUUCUCAGUUCGGAUUGUAGGCUGCAACUCGCCUACAUGAAGCUGGAAUCGCUAGUAAUCGCGGAUCAGCAUGCCGCGGUGAAUACUUUCCCGGGCCAAUG
rnacentral:rRNA from 1 species